rnacentral:rRNA from 1 species
AUGAACGCUGGCGGCAUGCCUCACACAUGCAAGUCGAUCGGUAAGGCUCUUCGGAGUACACGAGAGGCGGACGGCUGAGUAACGCGUAGGAACACACCCUGCAGUGAGGGAUAAGACACCGAAAGGUGUUCUAAUACCGCAUACGGUCUUCGGAUUAAAGCAUUUAUGCGCUGAAGGAGUGGCCUGCGUCAUAUUAGAUAGUUGGUGAGGUAAUGGCUCACCAAGUCGAUGAUGUGUAGCUGGUCUGAGAGGAUGAUCAGCCAGACUGGAACUGAGACACGGUCCAGACUCCUACGGGAGGCAGCAGUGAGGAAUAUUUCACAAUGAGCGAAAGCUUGAUGGAGCAAUGCCGCGUGCAGGAUGAAGGCCCUCGGGUUGUAAACUGCUUUUAUAAGAGAAGAUUAUGACGGUAACUUAUGAAUAAGGGACGGCUAACUACGUG